AAACGUAGGAGGCAAGCGUUAUCCGGAUUUACUGGGCGUAAAGCGCAUGCAGGUGGUUUUGUAAGUUGGAUGUGAAAGCUCCUGGCUUAACUGGGAGAGGUCGUUCAAAACUACAAGACUUGAGAUUGGUAGAGGAAAAUGGAAUUCCGGGUGUAGUGGUGAAAUGCGUAGAUAUCCGGAGGAACACCAGUGGCGAAAGCGGUUUUCUGGACCAAUUCUGACACUCAGAUGCGAAAGCUAAGGUAGC
rnacentral:rRNA from 1 species